UCAAAAACUAACGAGGGAGCUAAAUGGAGAAGAAGAACAGAUUAUGUAUUAAAUUUUAAAAAAUAAUUUGAAAAAGGAAAAAGAAAAACCCUGAAGCUUUGAGCUUAAGGAGUUUAUCGUUUGCUUAUUGUUUGGAUUUGAGUGAUUAAAGAAAAAUUAAUUGUUGCAGUGAGGAAUUUAUUUUGUGAGUUUGUGAUAUUUAAUUCAAUUUUUUUAAUGGAACAGAGUGAAGUUUCAGAUUUUACGCCAAAGAAAUUAGCGCGACAGUUAGAUUUUACGGUGAUUUAUAGAGCGUCACCGAAUGCAGCUUUAUCUGAGCAUUCAAAGCUGCAGCAGCCACCGCCGACGCCAACUCCACCACGACCGCCGGUGGUGGACCAGCUGCAAUCACAAUCGGAUUUGAAUUUACAACCACAUCUGCCGCCUGUAUUGCAAUUAAAAGUAGAAGCGCCGACGAAGAUGCAGUUACAGUCACAGGCAAUGCCGCCGCCGCCGCAGCAGCAAAUGCAUGUAGGGCCUCAGCAGGUGGUGCGGCGGAUUCCUCACCCCGUUCAGAAACUCCCUGUGCAGUCAAUGCAGCUAACCAAACCACAGUCACCUAGUGCUAGACCGAGAAAUGUUAGUGAAGCAAAAGAUGGUAUUAGUGGUACUCCUAAGAAAGCAAAGCAAUGUAAUUGCAAGAAUUCAAAGUGCUUGAAGUUGUAUUGUGAGUGCUUUGCUGCCGGGGUUUAUUGUAACGGUUGCAACUGCUUAAAUUGUCGUAACAACGUGGAACAUGAGAAAGUAAGAGACGAGGCAAUCGAGAUAACCUUAGAUCGCAAUCCAAAUGCUUUUAGACCAAAGAUUGCUAGCAGCCCACAUGGACCUAGGGAUGCUAAGGAAGAACCAAUGGAUGUUCAAUUGGUAGGGAAGCACAAUAAAGGAUGUCACUGCAAGAAAUCAGGGUGCCUCAAGAAGUAUUGUGAAUGCUUCCAAGCCAAUAUCUUGUGCUCUGAAAAUUGUAAAUGUGUGGACUGCAAGAAUUUUGAGGGGAGCAUAGAAAGAGGAGCUCUUGUUCAUGGUAAUCAUAAUGGCAUGGCCUUCAUGCAACAAGCCGCAAAUGCAGCCAUUUGUGAGGCUAUUGGAUCAUCUGGCUAUGGAACCCUUUUUCCGUCCAACAAAAGGAAAAGUGAGGAACUAUUUAGCAGUAUAAACAGAGAUCAAUUAAGUUGCAAUGCAAAAUUCCAACAGGAAAAUCAUCAAAGGAACUCUGCAUCUUCUGCUUGUCCCUUGUCUAACCCUGUUUCUCAUAACACAUCUGCACUAGGAUCUUCAAAAUUGGCGUUCAAGUCUCCAUUAGCAGGCAUACUUCAACCACAAGAUGUGAACAAGCUCUGCUCGCUCUUGGUUGUGCUUUCACAAGAAGCUACGAAGGCAUUUGCAGGCAAAAAUGAUAUGAAAUCCAGGGGAGAAAGUAAUCACAAUUCUGAAUCUUCUUCUACUUCAUCUAUACGAGAAAGGGAAGAUCUAAAAGGAAAUAAUGUCCACAAAAGUGUGCCUGGUAAUCAUGUAAUUAGGAACGCGGCAGAAAGGGGUGGAAGUAGUGAUUUGAGAAUGGAUGAAGGUGAUUUGGAAAAUGGAAGGCCAUUGUCGCCAGAAAUUGAUUUAAUGUGCCGUGAGCAAGAGGUGAUUUUUGCAGAAGGUGAGACAGCAACUGGGAUGGAAAAACUUAGCCAAAACAAAAAUGAUAAAUCAUCCAGUACACGCGAGUACUCAGAGGUUUAUGCAGAGCAAGAGAAGCUCAUCUUGACUGAUUUCAGGGAUUUCCUUAACAGGCUUAUCACUUGCGGAAGCAUAAAAGAAACAGCAUGUUCUCCACCAGCCAGGAGCAAACUCCAUCAGGAAUCUGCAGCAAGAGAGAUCACGAGAUCUGGAGUUGAGACGCUAAAUCACAAGAAGGCUUGCGUUAAUGGCAUAGUGAAAUCUCCUGUAGCAACUUCUGCUUCAACAGUGGAUCGGCCUGUAAAAGCUGUAUUGCCUGUUAGAAAUGGAGUAACUCAUCCGGACAGUAAGAGCUAAUUCUUGGAACAAUCAGCUUCACGUGUCUACAAUAUAAUGCUAAUCUUGAUUAAGUCGUCAAUCCCGCCGAUCUAGAUGUUGUUAUUGAGGAAUUACUGGCUUUAAAAUAAGUUAUAAAGACUGGUUUAUGCUAAUGAAGUUCUAUUUGAUUGUAAAUUCAUGUAGAUGUCUAAACAGUUUUGCUUUCUUAGUUGCAGCAACACUGGCAGAUCCCUGGAGAUCCUAUCCUGUAAUAUCUUAAUUAAAAAGUGCUAUAACCUUCUUUCAAGCUCUCAUUGCAAGGUGGAAAAGGACAGAUGCAAUGAAUCUUUGGUAUAGGGAUCUUCUUGGUUCCUUCUUAAUCUAAUAAUUUUCUUCCCCCGUCUUUUUCAUGGAGUUUCCUCUUAUGUACUUUCCUUUGCAAUUCCCACACAAAACUUCUGUUUCGUUUAUAUAAUGGUUGUUUCUCUA